rnacentral:rRNA from 1 species
GAUUGAACGCUGGCGGAAUGCUUUACCAUGCAAGUCGAGCGGCAGCGCGGGGCAACCUGGCGGCGAGCGGCGAACGGGUGAGUAAUGCAUCGGAACAUGUCCAUGUCGUGGGGGAUAGCCCGGCGAAAGCCGGAUUAAUACCGCAUAAGCCCGAGAGGGGAAAGCAGGGGACCGCAAGGCCUUGCGCGAUUGGGUUGGCCGAUGUCCGAUUAGCUUGUUGGUGAGGUAAAGGCUUACCAAGGCGAUGAUCGGUAGCUGGUCUGAGAGGAUGAUCAGCCACACUGGGACUGAGACACGGCCCAGACUCCUACGGGAGGCAGCAGUGGGGAAUUUUGGACAAUGGGGGCAACCCUGAUCCAGCCAUUCCGCGUGAGUGAAGAAGGCCUUCGGGUUGUAAAGCUCUUUUGUCCGGAGCGAAACGGUUACGGUGAAUAUCCGUGACUACUGACGGUACCGGAAGAAUAAGCACC